rnacentral:lncRNA from 1 species
AGAUGUGUCUGGUCUGUCUCUCUCUUUAACUCUCACACACCAAGGCCCUGUCCUGUCCUGUCCUGUCCUGUAUUCUGGUUUGACCCAAAGUACUACCUCAGGGUUGCGUUCAUUAGGCACCAAAAAAACAAACAUUAACUGACUGAAUCAAGGAGGUACUCUCUGGACCUGGUUCAAUAAGAAACCCACGGUUUCAUUUCCAGUUGCAAAACAUUUUAAAAAAAAUUUUUUGGGGGGUUGCAUGCCUUAAUGAGCGUAACCCAGAUCUGUCUCUCAGUGGGCUGACCGGAGGUGGAGACGUGGCCUAGCUGGAUUGACACAGUUUUAUCACCUGUGGUCACUCUGACUGGCUUCAACAUCUACCCAGUCCACGUCACACAAGGCUUAGUGUGCGUAGUCGUUGGAGAAAAGCAUGAUGUGUAUUAAAAAGACCAGAAACCACGUGGUUAUACAGACUGCUGUGGAACUUCAGAAAGGUUGUCAGAUUAUGGAGUGGAUUUUUUCAAAGGAGUGAAUGGAUUAUGUCAAUAGGUCUGUACUAAGGAGUGAAUGGAUUAUGUCAAUAGGUCUGUACUAAGGAAUGAAUGGAUUAUGUCAAUAGGUCUGUACUAAGGAGUGAAUGGAUUAUGUCAAUAGGUCUGUACUAAGGAGUGAAUGGAUUAUGUCAAUAGGUCUGUACUAAGGAAUGAAUGGAUUAUGUCAAUAGGUCUGUACUAAGGAGUGUUUUAUUGCACAUUAUACUAGAUGUCUAGGGCCUAUUGAGCAAUGGCUUUAAUGUAUAGAUUUAAAUGAAUGGAUUGAAUGUGUAGCCACGGAGGCACUUAGGCAGCACUCUAUGAAACACAUGGCAUCAAUAAUAAAGUUCUCUGUUAACCUCCUCUUCUCAGCUAAUACUGUGAGACUGAAUGUCUCUGCUCCAUUCCCCGGCUCAGCCCCGUGCGUGUGCGUGUGCGUGUGUGUGUGUGUGUGUGUGUGUGUGUGUGUGUGUGUAUUACAAGCACAAAGCUCAAAUGGAGGAUGGCUUUCUUUGUGUGUUGUUCACACUAGGCCUGAUGCUGGGAAAAUGUUGCCAUUUUGAAGUUCACACUAGGCCUGAUGCUGGGAAAAUGCUGCCAUUUUGAAGUUCACACUAGGCCUGAUGCUGGGAAAAUGCUG